rnacentral:lncRNA from 1 species
CAUUGCCAGAAUGGUGAGAUGAUGAAAGUAUCACUGUGGAGUCAGACAAACCAGUCACAGCUAUGCUACUGUGUCUUCAGAAGUUUAUUACCUGGAAACUGAGGUAACAAUGACUCACUCUCUCACUCCCCUGCCAUGAGACUCACUAAGCUAACCUAUACAAAAGUAUUUAGAGCACAGUAGGUUCUGUUUCCUCCGACAAAGGCAUUCUGAAGAGAUGCUUGCUCCCAGAGAGCCUUGUUUCCCUCUGCUAGUCAUAAAACUUUCUUCCCUCCAGAGAACCUCUAUGCUUCUGAAAAGAUUCUUCAAUGUUCUUUUCCUAAUGGGCUCAUUUAAUUAGCUGAUGUCUGCAUGUAGCUUGGAGGAAAAGUGCUGAGGCAGCUCUUUCUAUCACCUUGUUCCCUUUCUUCCUAAUGGACUACUAAAUCUUUAAAUCUGAGCCCUGGGUAUCUAUCUGGCCCUUGUGCUGUAAGGAGAUCCAGGAGUCACCAAAUGUCCUGAGCCAAGAAUGAAGUGGCAAGGCAAGCUGAAGGAGUGGAGGUCCACAGCGUGGGGUCUGGAAUCAGCCCUGUUCUUCCCAUCUCUGAGGUCUGCCUCCUUUUCCAAGCUGUGACAUCUUGCCUAGGAAACACAUCCAGGAGAAGAGGAGUGGAGCCAGCCCCAGAAGGCAAGCCAGCAGGAACAAGCCCGGGCCUCCUCUGGAAAACCUGUCACAAUUUAUGAUCUGAGAGGAGCCAGUUUACCCAAAGGAAGAAGCUCAUCUAUUUACUGCCGUGUUUCCUCGCUUGUCCAAGACAUGCUCACUGGCCUGGGGAAGGGGGUGGCCGCGCAAGGACCAUCAGCCGGUGCAGGCUAGGCCCUGCCUGGCAGAGGUCAUCCACAGUUUCAGUUUGAAGGUCAUCCAGCCGAAUGCAGGAUGUGCCCAUGCCCCAGGAAGCCUCAGAAGGGACAGAAGACCUCAGACUGGUGUGGGACAUUUGGGCCGUGACAAUUUACACAGUCUCCUGAAGCUGCUCCACAGGCAGGACCUAGGAAGCCAUCUCGUUGCCCACAGAACCCAC